rnacentral:tRNA from 1 species
GCGCCCGUAGCUCAGUGGAUAGAGCACUUGACUACGGAUCAAGUUGCCGGGGGUUCAAAUCCUCUCGGGCGCUCCA